rnacentral:rRNA from 1 species
AGUGAACGCUGGCGGUAGGCCUAACACAUGCAAGUCGAACGGCAGCACAGUAAGAGCUUGCUCUUACGGGUGGCGAGUGGCGGACGGGUGAGGAAUACAUCGGAAUCUACUUUUUCGUGGGGGUUAACGUAGGGAAACUUACGCUAAUACCGCAUACGACCUACGGGUGAAAGGAGGGGAUCUUUGGACCUUUCGCGAUUGAAUGAGCCGAUGUCGGAUUAGCUAGUUGGCGGGGUAAAGGCCCACCAAGGCGACGAUCCGUAGCUGGUCUGAGAGGGUGGUCCGCCACUCUGGGACUGAGCCACGGUCCAGACUCCUACGGGCGGCCGCAAUGGGGAAUAUUGGACAAUGGGCGCAAUCCUGAUCCAGCCAUGCCGCGUGGGUGAAGAAGGCCUUCGGGUUGUAAAGCCCUUUUGUUGGGAAAGAAAAGCAUCAGGUUAAUACCCCGCUGUUCUGACGGAACCCAAAGAAUAAGCACCGGCUAACUUCGU